GACGAACGCUGGCGGCGUGCCUAAUACAUGCAAGUAGAACGCUGAAGGAGGAGCUUGCUCUUCUGGAUGAGUUGCGAACAGGUGAGUAACGCGUAGGUAACCUGCCUGGUAGCGGGGGAUAACUAUUGGAAACGAUAGCUAAUACCGCAUAAGAGUAGAUGUUGCAUGACAUUUACUUAAAAGGUGCAAUUGCAUCACUACCAGAUGGACCUGCGUUGUAUUAGCUAGUUGGUGGGGUAACGGCUUACCAAGGCGACGAUACAUAGCCGACCUGAGAGGGUGAUCGGCCACACUGGGACUGAGACACGGCCCAGACUCCUACGGGAGGCAGCAGUAGGGAAUCUUCGGCAAUGGACGGAAGUCUGACCGAGCAACGCCGCGUGAGUGAAGAAGGUUUUCGGAUCGUAAAGCUCUGUUGUAAGAGAAGAACGAGUGUGAGAGUGGAAAGUUCACACUGUGACGGUAGCUUACCAGAAAGGGACGGCUAACUACGUG
rnacentral:rRNA from 1 species